AAAUCCCAGUUAGAACUCAGGAAAGGCGCUUGAAUGCGCUUUUAACAAUAUUUAAAGCGGUUUCGACGAAUGCAUUGUGAAGACCAUUCCCAGUGAACUCUAUUGAAUGUCUAAUACACAAGGUAUUCCAGCUACUGGCCAGGCUUCAAUAAAAGGUUAGCUGCAUUUUUUUUCCUCCUAAGUAAGUCUUAUUUUUAACUGAGCAUUGACAGUAUCUUAAAAUGGUAACGUGGGCGUGGGCGUUGUGUGCAUAGCAGUCUAGCCGGUUGGGUACCCUGCUCCUGUACCUAGUUCACAGACUCGAGUGCAUUUUUUUUUGGCGAGAUUUCCAUCUUUGAAGAAACAAAAAAACAAAAACACCUGAACCAGCGUUCUCUUAUUCUUUAAGCUGUGGAAAUAAUUUCCAGUUUCUACAUUCUCGAUAUGCAUCCUUAUUAAAAAGAUAAUACGAAUGAAAGGCAGUGUGCUUAAAGUGUGCUUUGCAAAUACAUGUUAUGAAUGACUACGGUCACUGGGCAAAUUAUUUGUAGAAUGAUUAGCCUUUAGCUAGAAAAAAAAAAUCAUUGCAGCUCUUUUGGGCCUGGAUGGUUCUUUUUAAUGUUAAUGGAGGGGAAGUGAUUUAAAUAUGCAUGCUCUUAGCAGUCAGGAUCUGACUUAGUUGUUUUGAGAGAAAAAAAAAUCAAAAGGCAAGGUCUACUUUUUUUCUCUGGGAAUUGAAACCACAAUCAUCUUGAUACUAGAACAGUGUAAGAAAUGAACAUUUGUUCUUCACUUCAGAAUUCAAAUGAGUUUUGCCCAAGGAAUCUGGGAAAUAAGGCAAAUAAGUUGCUCAAUUUUCAAGUAGUCAUUCAAUAGAAAUAUACUCCAUCACUCGGCUUUCUUAUUCUCUGAUGGGGUAUUCUGUAUAGUCUCACUGUUUUCUCCUAAUGGGCAUAUGUAUCUUUGUGGACACUUGGAAGAGAGGUUUUCUUGUACUCUCUCAUUUCUAGAAUCUUUAUACUCUUUUUCCUGCAAGGUUCUCUGCUUUUAACAGAUUUCUGAGGCAACUAUAUUUGUGCUUUUUUCUUAUGUAGGAAGACCAGCGAAACUAGCUUACUGAGUUGUCGAUUUUAUCAGUAGAUAAAGAAACUUUGUUUAUUACAGUUUCAGGGAAGGUUUUUCAGGAUAUUUCUCAGUUAUUCUAAGGGCCAAAUUUUAUAUAUAAAAAAAAAAAAACUUCAUUAGGAAUGUCAGUUUCAGAUACCCUUUGUAUAGCCUGUGGCCUGCAAGCACGACAGGACUGAGCCUUACAUGUGUCCGAACAGGAAUUCAUAAGUCCCCAAAGUAAACGUCUCCAUG
rnacentral:lncRNA from 1 species